CCUGUAAGACUGGGAUAACUCCGGGAAACCGGGGCUAAUACCGGAUGGUUGUUUGAACCGCAUGGUUCAAACAUAAAAGGUGGCUUCGGCUACCACUUACAGAUGGACCCGCGGCGCAUUAGCUAGUUGGUGAGGUAACGGCUCACCAAGGCAACGAUGCGUAGCCGACCUGAGAGGGUGAUCGGCCACACUGGGACUGAGACACGGCCCAGACUCCUACGGGAGGCAGCAGUAGGGAAUCUUCCGCAAUGGACGAAAGUCUGACGGAGCAACGCCGCGUGAGUGAUGAAGGUUUUCGGAUCGUAAAGCUCUGUUGUUAGGGAAGAACAAGUACCGUUCGAAUAGGGCGGUACCUUGACGGUACCUAACCAGAAAGCCACGGCUAACUACGUGCCAGCAGCCGCGGUAAUACGUAGGUGGCAAGCGUUGUCCGGAAUUAUUGGGCGUAAAGGGCUCGCAGGCGGUUUCUUAAGUCUGAUGUGAAAGCCCCCG
rnacentral:rRNA from 1 species